AUGAGCAUGAGAUAUCUUUCCAUUUGUGUGUGGCCUCUUCAAUUUCUUUCAUCAUUGUUUUGUAGUUUUCCUUGUAGAGGUCUUUCACCUCCUUGGUUCAAUUCAUUUUCAGGUAUUUUUGGUACCUAUUUUAAAUAAGAUUGCCUUCUUGAUUUCUUUCUUAGCUAGUCCAUUAUUAGUUUAUAGAAAUGCUACUAAUUUUUGUGUGAUUUUGUGUAUCCUAUGGCUUUAGUGAAUUUAUCAGAUCUAAGUUUUUGGUGGAGUCUUUAGGUUUCUCUAGGUAUAAGAUCAUAUUGUCUGUAAAGAGGGAUAACUUGACUUUCUCUUUUCCAGUUUGGAUGCCCUUUCUUUCUGUUGCUCGAUUGCUCUGGCUAGGACUAGUAUUAUGUAAGUGUUCCAUUCAUUAAUUUGCUGAACUGUAGUGGGAAGACAACCCUUCCCCAAACUCCGUUCACUCCAUACCUAAACGGACCAAGCACAUGCUUAGGGCACUAAUGAAACAGGAACACCAAGAUAAUGAGUAAACUUCAGCUUUUGGUGAACUUGGAAUUUUAUAAUCAGAGAUAAUCUAGAAAUAAGCCUUUCUAACUUCAGCAUACAUUAAUAUUUUGGCUUCCCCAGGCCCACUUGCAUCAUGUACUUCUUUCUCAGAUAAACACUCGAGGGACCUGAUGAGACUGAAAACAUCAAACACAGCCUCUGGGACAAGGAAAGUCUUUAAGAACUUUAGGGGUAUAUUAUUCUCAUACUCAAACACAUCUGCAGACCACCAAAGAUACUUCUCCUCGCAUCACUGUGAUCCUCUGGGCACAUCAGUCACAAAGAACCAGGCUUUAAGUCUUCUGAAAAUUAAUAGAAGCAAGAAGGUGACAAAACUCUAUGGACACUCUUGGGCUUAAAUCUUGCCAGUCAAGUGUUUGAUCACAGACAAGAACUGACCCUCUCUGUGCUCACCAAAUGUCAUGCAGAGACUCUAUGACCUACUACCUCCUUGUGUUCUUCCUGCCUCUCUAGCUGUUCAGUUCAGACUUCUUAGGAGGUUCUCAGAGAUACCUCAAACUGCACAAGUCCAGGGGGAGAAUCUAGAACCUUUUCUAUACUGUAGAGGCUUUCUUGAAUGCCUCUUUGUCCCCACUGUAGCUCUUUUUGUUUAAACUUGUCAGUUGAUCUCUUAUGGCAGCCUUGCCCACCUUUGAUUUAUCCCUUAUACCAAGGUUUCUCAAUUUCCACAGUCUUGACAUUUGGUACUAGAUAAUCCUUUGUUGUGGGGGCUGUUAUGUGCAUUGUGAGAUGCUGAGCAGUGUCCCUGGCCUCUACCAGGAGAUGCCAGUAGCAUCCCGAGUUGUGACAAUCAAAAAUGUCUCUAGACAUUGCCAAAUGUCCCUCGGGGCAAAACUGUCACCUAGCUGAGAACCACUUCUCAAUCUGACCCUGAAUUAUCUUUGAGAAACCAAUAUUUACUGCAGUAUACCCUUAAAUAGUUGAGGGCUCCCAUUGUCUAUGAAUAAACUCCCUGGCAUGACAUAUUUUGCCUUUAUUAUAUCAUCCAACACCCCCCACCAGCACAGGCAGUUAGGUACCUUAUCUGCUGCUGACAGUCUCGUCCAGGGUUUGUCUGCCCUCCUGUCAUAGUCCUGCGCUUUUGCUACUUCCACGUAAUCACUGAAUCGUAUCAGAAUUUUUCUGUCUCUUAAUUCAUCAACAGUGGGUCUCUGAUUAAGCUAAAAUUAAAGAUCAUCAUAGUUAAGUAUCACAUGCCAAACUAGCUUUUUUGAAGUACUCUGAACAAACAGCACUUCUCUUAAAAAACAAAACAAAACAAAAAAAACCUGAAACUGGAAAAUAUAACCCAAAUACAAGCAAUCUCUAAUGUGAAGGGCUGAAAUUAUAUACUGUACUCUUAAAUCACAAUCCCCCUUCCUCCAACAUAUUUUAUCAGAAGGAGUCACACCCCCAGUAGUACAUAGCACCAGCUCAAGGAAUGGUUAGUGAAUUAACUUAGAUUUUAUGGCAUCACUGGCUUCAGAUACAAUUAGAUAAGCUUUUUAAAAGUACUAAUAAAGUUAUUAUAUGUCCAGCUUAGGAAGGAUAUUCUGUUAAUUUCAAGAGAAUUAUUAUGGAGCAGCACAACGAAGAAGGGGAAUCCAGAACACUUGAAUUUAGAAAUGGUCAAGGCUUUAAAAGUAGAUUAAGAUUUAUAGAGUUGCUACCUGUAUUGGCCAUAGUAAAUGUUAACUGUUUGAGUCACAGAGAACAAACCUUUGAGUCUAAUAAAGCUUUCUGCAACUGAGGAACUUCUAGACAUAUUGGAGGUGAACAAAAGCGAUGAGUGUAAAAUGUGACUAAAACACUGAUACCCAGGUAUGCUUUUCCUAGACACUGUAAAUUAAGAAAAUGCCAAUCAACUUCUGGCUUCCACCUGAACAUAAGUAAAAAAUGUCAUGUGCAUUGUGCACCUCUCCAAGUGCUACCGUGCUAGGGAAGGACUUCGUCCAUAGGGAACGUCAGAGGGAGUUAAUUCAUUGUUGCUGAGCAAAGACUUUUUAACCAACAUAAAACAUGGAACACCUUCUUCAGCUCCUGGGCAGCAUAUGCUUGCCUGGAAUUUAUAUGUUCAGACUAUAUUUCAAAUCUUAACACAUCUAUGAACCUCGCUGACUCUCCAUUGCUGAAGCGUGAACACUGUUAUAUGACAGUGCCUUUUAAAGGAGCCCAAGUCCCUCAGCAAAAUUAGCUUUGCUUGGUAAGUUGUGACUAUUAACAUUCAAGCUGUGCUCGCACCUACCCUUGGAAGCCAAAAAUAGACGAAAGUGCUGAGAUAUAGUAUAAAACGUAAGCUUCCCCCUGGGAUACAAGAUAAUGGCUGUCCUAUUUCUGGUGUUCUCUGUUGCUAAAUAAAGCCUUAUGUCCCUGACCUGAACAUAGCUCCAUUCCUAGGAAAGAGAUUUCAACAAUCAGCACUCCUAGAAACACUGGUAGGUUUUGGUAAGGGAAAUCCUGCCACUUGCAAUUAACACAAUUUCACAUUAUCUGCCUUUAUGUAAAAGAUGCGUUUCAAAUAUUUAUACAUUUGUGGGAUUGGUUAUAUGAGAGUUUAAUAUAUUGUGCUUUCCAGUAAUUUUUUUUAAGUGAGUCAUCUUGGAUUAGGGUGUUUUAGAAAAGGUAAUGAAAUCCUCUUUCUGCUUAAUUCUUUAUACAAGUGAGAAACCAGAAGAAACCAUACUUUUAAGGUAUCAUCAGAAAGCUGAUACAAUUAGAGAGACAUUGUGAAAGUGUCCAGACAAGGCAAGCCAUGAGGGAUUUACGUGACGUAAAAUGUUUCAGAUUUCUUUAAAAUAGGCCAUGGGCAGCUCCCAAGUGCAGCUUCCAUGUGAAAAGAUUGAAACAAAGUCAGAUCUUUUUUUUUUUUUUAAUCCUGAAAAAUGCCAUAAUUACUACGAAGGUCACCAGCAGGGUCUUUGGAGAACUGAUCUUUGAAAGUUCCUGUCAGAGUGCUGCUUUGUGCCAGGCGCUCUGUUGGAGACCUCCUCCAAGAAGUCCUCCCUGUUAGCCUAAGCCCACAGACCUCCCCUUCUGAGCUCCCCUUAGUGAUAUGUUUAUGGAUUUCUUAUUUCCAGACCCAGAACACCCUCUGCAUUAUACAAAGCAAGGGACCCAUAAUCAGGACUGCUAUACUCAUAUUUUCUGGAAAUAGCUCCAGCAGCUUGGACAGUUAUACCUGAGACUUCCAUGAAUAUCCAGAAAUGUAUUACUGCUUCUGAUGCAGUAGUUAAGAAGAUGGGCAAUGGAGUUAGGCAGACCUGGGGUUGAACUCUAGUGCUAUCCUUUUCCCAAUAUUCAUUUAUUAAAAAGUGCAAACCUCACAAAUAUGUUGCAAUGAUUAAAUGAGGGAAUAUAUACCAAGUACUGAAUAUAGUCCCUGGCACAGAUUGGGCCUAAUAAAGAAUUACCAUCACCAUAUAAAGGGACCCCUGCUCUUCUGCUUUUCUAUCCACGUUAUAGUGUUAUAUGGGCGGAGUUUUGAGUGCUCCUCAGAUAUGACUGCAGUUAGUCAUGAGUUCCCCCUUGAAGCAAAUACAAAAGUGAUAUUCUAAGAAUUGGUUACAAGAAGAAAAUACAAUACAGUAUGAGUGCUUGAAGUCCUGUGUAUCUAGAGCCUAUGAGUAUGAUGUUUCAUACUAGGCUAUAUAUAGUUACCCUAUUCUCAUCUCCACAGAACAAAAGUAAAACCAAACACCCACCACAAACCUAGCAGUAAAAUUCUCAGGUCCUUCCACUCAGGACACUAGAGAGGGCUUCCGAGCUAAGGACAAACCUACAUUCACUGAUGAAGGCACAGUGUUUAUGGCGGGAUUGCCAUGGCCACCGCAGAGGAAACCCAUUUUCCCUUUCAUGCACUGAAGAUUAACACAAUUAGAAGUACUUGCUGAUGGGAAGACCUGGUUGCCCACGAUAGGAAGGAAGAGGCUGCUACUGAAAGAAGACAUGGUUCCUGGGUUAAAGGUCUGGGCUGUAGUACUCUCUUCCUGUUGCUGACAGCAGGCUACUUGGAAUGUGGUGCUUCCUGUGUCUUGAACUUGCCUGGUUCAAGUCUGGACUGCUACUUUUAGUAGCAUCUGCAACUUACAAGCUUUAUAAAUAAGUGACUUAAUUUUUAAAAAUUCAAAUAUUUGGCAACUGAAACAGCUUGACUUUUCUGUCUGCCUACUUAAUUAAGCAUGUUAUCAAUGAAGAGCUUUUCUUUAAAUCCUCAGAGAUGGUAUAGUUAACAUAGAACAGUAGUCACUAUAUCUUAAGUUUAAAAAGUAAAAUGAAGAAGUCUUUAUCUGAGGGUUAUUUUCAACAAUCUAUAAAGGAGGGGAUUGUUUUAGGCAGUUAAUGAAGGCACUGAGGCAAAGAAAGGAGGGAGGAAUCAAUUCAAGUUCAGUACCCAGACCAACAAGGGGCUCUGCGGUAUUUUCUGACAGAAAGUCAGCUUGGUACCAUUAUAACUUCAUAAAAAGAUGUUCACAAAUAAGAAAACAAACUCAGAGAAAGUCUGCAGUAUUCAUCACAUAAAGAGAAAAAAAGUCCUUUAAAAAUCCAAGCCAUUAGAAGACACUUUCUGUGGAAAAUGUUUUAAAAACUGAAAAUGACUAGAUAAAGAACUAUUGGAGAAACACUUUUUCAAGAGGUUUGGCCACCCCUAAAUCACUGACUUUAUGGAAUAUUUAAUGGAAUAUAGUGCCCUAGAGCAUGGAGGUUACUCAUGAACACCUAUGCUCAGCAUAUGCUAUAAUUGUCCACCUAACGGGAAAUGCAAGGGGUUGCAAGGCUGGGAGCAACAGAGGGUCCUGGAACCUCAAAGUCCUGAGCCACAGGAAAGCUUCUCAUGGCUUCACCGUUUCCCUGAGCUGACUGCUUUAUUCCUCCCAAGUGUAACAGGCAAGGGGCGUGUCCUUCUCUAGUGUGUUCAUGCGGUUCAUGCUUUGUGAUUUCUAUAGCCAUGAAGAACCCCGACCCAAACUGCCAGGAAGACCUGCUUGAAACCUAACGCACUUAGACAUAUGGGACUAACCCUGAAAAUAAAAACAUCUUUAUGCUAAGAGGAAAGGAGUUUUUUUAAAUUAAAAAAAAUGUUUCUAGGUAUAUCAGCUUUCCUUUGGGGCUUGCUUUCAGAAUUCAGCAGCAGCUCAGGUUUACUGGGAGCAUGGAGCAUUCCGCUUGCAGAGAAGGGCUGGGUUAUGGGAACUCAGGAUUUGUGCAACAGCCUCACCACACGUGAAGGAAAACCUCUAGAGGAAUCACCAGCUACUCACGUUUCAAGAUAUUUCUUCUCUCCAGCUCUUCCACGGCAGGUCUUUGGCUCAGCCGUCUGCGGAAAAACACUAAAAUUACAUUUUGCACCAUAGUGG
rnacentral:lncRNA from 1 species